rnacentral:lncRNA from 1 species
UAUUAUUUAAAUAUUUCUUUUACAUUAUAGUAUAUAUUUUUUAGUUUGAAAAGGAUGAAAGUGUCUCAUAUGUCUUAAAGGCAGGGAUCUAAUAUUGUUUUAAAGAAUUUUUUUAUAUUGUAUAUGAUGAUGUAUAUUGGAUCGUGACACUAUAAUAAACUAUUUACUUACUUACUAUAUACAGUAAUUUGCAAUCAGCAUACAACAAAUGGAAGUUUUUAACGACCUUGACUGGCUAUCUAGCAUACGUGUACAAGGUUGCUAAUUACUAUAUAUAAAUUACAAAUUUACUCCGAUAUAUAUACUAAUAUAAAAACUGUUGUUUCUAAUUUGUGUUUGUAGCUAUGUAUACUGUAUUGUUUAGUACUAUAUUUGUAUUUUUAUACUAUUAAACGAGAAGACCUCCUUUUGUGUGUCGCUUCUCUUCCUUCCAUGAUAAAUUAAUCAUCAUGCCUCUGGGUUUUAAAGAUGACAUGCAUAGUCGCAUUUGUCGUCCAUUCUUAUGGUUCAUUUUUGGAGAAAAACAACAAAAAAAGG